ACGCAGUUCGCCCUUCUUGGUCAUUUAGAGGAAGUAAAAGUCGUAACAGGUCUCCGUAGGUGAACCUGCGGAGGGAUCAUUACAGAGUUCAUGCCCCCGGGUAGAUCUCCCACCCACUGUUAUCACUACUCUCGUUGCUUUGGCGGCCGCUGGGCCCUGCCCGGCCGCCGGCCCCGGCUGGCGCGUGCCCGCCAAGACCUCACAGACUCUGAAUGUCAGUGUCGUCCGAGUAACUAUAUAAUCUUAAAACUUUCAACAACGGAUCUCUUGGUUCUGGCAUCGAUGAAGAACGAGCGAAAUGCGAUAAGUAAUGCGAAUUGCAGAAUUCAGUGAGUCAUCGAUCUUUGAACGCACAUUGCGCCCUGUGGUAUUCCGCAGGGCAUGCCUGUUGAGCGUCAUUUCAACCCUCAAGCCUCGCUUGGUGUUGGGCCCUGCCCGCGCGGCCGGCCCUAAAGAUAGUGGCGGCGCCGCCUGGCCCUCAGCGUAGUCAGCUCUCGCUCCAGGGUCCGGCGGCAGCCUGCCAGAACCCCCCAACUCGUGGUUGACCUCGGAUCAGGUAGGGAUACCCGCUGAACUUAAGCAUAUCAUAAGCGGAGGA
rnacentral:rRNA from 1 species